UGAGCUAGAUGGAAUACCCUACAUAAUUUACACCAACUGUCAAAUCCCAAUUGCCGCCGAGAUUAGAGUAUACGUGAGGGGAAGACACAUAAGAUCACACAGCAUGGUGACUCGACCCAAUGGUAGUGCCCAAGAUCACUUAGCCCAAGCUCCUACCUAUAAUCCCAAUUUGGGAAUGACAUAAAGUCAAGUACUCAAGAUCACUUACCCUGGUGCCAAAUAUCCAUGUCGUCAAACACGGUU
rnacentral:lncRNA from 1 species